CGAGGGGCAGCACAGGUAGCAAUACCGGGUGGCGACCGGCGCACGGGUGAGUAACGCGUAUGCAACUUGCCUAUCAGAGGGGGAUAACCCGGCGAAAGUCGGACUAAUACCGCAUGAAGCAGGGAUCCCGCAUGGGAAUAUUUGCUAAAGAUUCAUCGCUGAUAGAUAGGCAUGCGUUCCAUUAGGCAGUUGGCGGGGUAACGGCCCACCAAACCGACGAUGGAUAGGGGUUCUGAGAGGAAGGUCCCCCACAUUGGUACUGAGACACGGACCAAACUCCUACGGGAGGCAGCAGUGAGGAAUAUUGGUCAAUGGGCGUAAGCCUGAACCAGCCAAGUCGCGUGAGGGAUGAAGGUUCUAUGGAUCGUAAACCUCUUUUAUAAGGGAAUAAAGUGUAGGACGUGUCCUAUUUUGUAUGUACCUUAUGAAUAAGGAUCGGCUAACUCCGUGCCAGCAGCCGCGGUAAUACGGAGGAUCCGAGCGUUAUCCGGAUUUAUUGGGUUUAAAGGGUGCGUAGGCGGCCUUUUAAGUCAGCGGUGAAAGUCUGUGGCUCAACCAUAGAAUUGCCGUUGAAACUGGGAGGCUUGAGUAUGUUUGAGGCAGGCGGAAUGCGUGGUGUAGCGGUGAAAUGCUUAGAUAUCACGCAGAACCCCGAUUGCGAAGGC
rnacentral:rRNA from 1 species